AGCUCAGUUGGUAGAGUGUUUGCUUGGCAUGCAUGAAGCCCUGAGUUCAAUUCCCAG
rnacentral:tRNA from 1 species